rnacentral:snRNA from 1 species
AUGCUUUGGCAGCAUAUAUACUAAAAUUAGCAUGGCCCCUGCCCAAAGAUAAAACACAAAUUUAUGAAGCAUUCCACAUUUUU